rnacentral:rRNA from 1 species
GGGGAAUAUUGCACAAUGGGCGGAAGCCUGAUGCAGCGACGCCGCGUGAGGGAUGACGGCCUUCGGGUUGUAAACCUCUUUCAGUAGGGAACAAGGCUUUCGGGUUGAGGGUACCUGCAGAAGAAGCGCCGGCUAACUACGUGCCAGCAGCCGCGGUAAUACGUAGGGCGCGAGCGUUGUCCGGAAUUAUUGGGCGUAAAGAGCUCGUAGGCGGUUUGUCGCGUCUGCCGUGAAAUUCCAGGGCUUAACCCUGGUCGUGCGGUGGGUACGGGCAGACUAGAGUGCAGUAGGGGAGACUGGAAUUCCUGGUGUAGCGGUAAAAUGCGCAGAUAUCAGGAGGAACACCGGUGGCGAAGGCGGGUCUCUGGGCUGUUACUGACGCUGAGGAGCGAAAGCAUGGGGAGCGAAC